CAAGACCUUGCGCUUUUGGAGCGGCCGAUGUCUGAUUAGCUAGUUGGUGAGGUAAAGGCUUACCAAGGCUUCGAUCAGUAGCUGGUCUGAGAGGACGACCAGCCACACUGGGACUGAGACACGGCCCAGACUCCUACGGGAGGCAGCAGUGGGGAAUUUUGGACAAUGGGGGAAACCCUGAUCCAGCCAUGCCGCGUGAGUGAAGAAGGCCUUCGGGUUGUAAAGCUCUUUCAGCCGGAACGAAACGGUCACGGUUAAUACCCGUGAUCACUGACGGUACCGGAAGAACAAG
rnacentral:rRNA from 1 species